GAGGGUAAGAGGUACUACAGGGGUAGGAGUGAAAUCUUGUAAUCCCUGUGGGACCACCUGUGGCGAAGGCGUCUUACCAGAACGGGUUCGACGGUGAGGGACGAAAGCUGGGGGCACGAACCGGAUUAGAUACCCGGGUAGUCCCAGCCGUAAACGAUGCUCGCUAGGUGUCAGGCAUGGCGCGACCGUGUCUGGUGCCGCAGGGAAGCCGUGAAGCGAGCCACCUGGGAAGUACGGCCGCAAGGCUGAAACUUAAAGGAAUUGGCGGGGAGCACAACAACGGGUGGAAGCCUGCGGUUUAAUUGGACUCAACGCCGGACAACUCACCGGGGGCGACAGCAAUAUGUAGGCCAAGCUGAAGACUUUGCCUGAAUCGCUGAGGAGAGGUGCAUGG
rnacentral:rRNA from 1 species